CUUCUUUUACUCUUUAGUUCUUGGUCAAAUAUUCGUUUAUGUUUAUCAUGUAUCUGGACUAGUCCUAAAAAGUAAAUGCCCUUAGUGGUGACUUCUACCCCUAUGCAGGGAGGCUGGAGAAGGCGGAUAACGGGCGCAUCUAGAUUAACUGCAACGGCGAGGGAGUGUUGUCCGUGGUGGCGGAGUGCGACGCUGCAGUCGAUGACUUGGGUAAUUUCGGGGCCCGCACCACCGACGUCUCCCCCAUCCCCAAAGUCCAUCAUUCGCCGGGGAUUUCCAGCUUCCCACUUUUGUUGUUGCAGUUGACUCGGUUCAAAUGCGGUAGCGUGUCCUUGGGCGUUGCAAACGACCACCACGUUUCCGACAGGACCUCCGCCCUCCAUUUCAUCAACACCAACACGUUGUCCGACACUGCUCGCGGCCGUCCCCCCAUUCCUCGGCGGACGGGCGUCCGAGGAAAUAGUAGUCAUUGUAAUCAAAAUACUCUUGUAUCGUAUAAUUAUAUAAAAACACAAAAUCUCUCGUGUAGACGUUCAUGAGAGUUCCGCCCAUGGCCACUGCGCGAAUGUGCAAUGAGCAUAUUUUUUGUUCAAACUCGCUCUGGCCUUUCUUCAAACAGUUGGCGGAUGGCCUUUCUUUCGCUCGUGAAUUUCUCUACAUUGUGAAUUCGUGUAGGAGAGAGUUAUUUUUUUGUUUCUAUGAUCAUCACUUGGGCGAUCCUUCGUCUACGCAUUGCUCAUUUUCAUUGCAUAAAUUGUUGGAGGAUGUUUGAUAAUGGCGUCUUUCUGUCGAAUAGUUGGUCUACGGAUUCUGCUUGGGGGCUUAUGGCGAUUUCUUUUUAGUUUUUGCGGCUGUUUUCAGUUUGUUAUCAUAAGAAGGGUUUAAUUUUUGCUUUAUCAGAUUCCCCUUAUUAUGAUCUCUUUAGGGCUCUCGUUGGUGUU